GCUCCCUUGACGCAGUGGCUAGCGUGCCGUUCUUAUACAUGCGCCUGCGGGACCUGUAUGAAGCUAUGCGGAAGUCGUGAGUUCGACCCUCACAGGGAGCA